rnacentral:rRNA from 1 species
UACGAAGGGGGCUUGCGUUGUUCGGAUUUACUGGGCGUAAAGCGCACGUAGGCGGAUCGUUAAGUCAGGGGUGAAAUCCUGGAGCUCAACUCCAGAACUGCCUUUGAUACUGGCGAUCUUGAGUCCGGAAGAGGUGAGUGGAACUCCUAGUGUAGAGGUGGAAUUCGUAGAUAUUAGGAAGAACACCAGUGGCGAAGGCGGCUCACUGGUCCGGUACUGACGCUGAGGUGCGAAAGCUAGGGUAGCAAACGGG